UGAGAACUGUGCUCAAUUCCAAUGCACUAAAACUGGAAUGAGUUUAGCAUGGCCCCGGUGUAAGGAUGACAUGCAAANUGGUGAUGUAUUCUGUAUUUUU
rnacentral:snRNA from 1 species